rnacentral:tRNA from 1 species
AAAAAACUAGUUAAAAAAAAAUAACAAAAGAAUGUCAUUCUUUAAUUACUUAGGUGUUUUUUA